rnacentral:lncRNA from 1 species
AUUCCUCCAACAAAUAAGACAGAGAACUGCCUGUUUUUUUGGUUCCCUAUCGAAGGACGGAGCUUGGAACAACAUUUAUAACGGUUUAAUGACACAAAGAGUAAAAGGUGCUGCAGCCCAUCCAUCUGCUGAAUGUUGCCAAGUAACAGCCAUCCAUGGAACAUGGAAAAAUGAAUUCACCCGGCCAGGCCCAAAUUGUCGACCCACAGAACAUGAGAUGCAGAAGCUCUAACCAAGGAUUCCUAGAGAGAAAGAGUAGAGCCAUGAGACGAAGGGAGCCUGGGUCCCUAAAUCACCAUGUCGGAGCUCUUCAGCGAAAAGCUGACGCUGAGCUGCUACGUGAGCAAGAGACACCUUGCCCAGCUAUAGUGCAGUAAUAUCAUCAUGGCUCACUGCAAUCUCGACUUCUCCAGCUCAAACAAUCCUCCCACCUCAGCCUCCCAAGCAGUUGGGACUACAGGCACGUGUCAUUACACCCAGUUACAGAAAGCUUUUCAUGGUUCACUGACUGAGGACAAUCAACCCCUUCAUAAUCCAUAACCCAAAGAUUGAACUGUCUGAGAACACCAGAGAAAGACUGCUCCUGCCAUCCACAUUGCAGCAAACCUUCAGGACCUUGAACCUUGGGUUCAUAGUCUUACAACUCAGAAGCAUCCCUCCACACUCUCAAAACUGGACAUCCUUGGGAACCCUUAAGGUAAAGCUAACCAGGGAAGAUUUUCUGCCCAGAAGAUGGCAUCCUUUUCCCCAAGAUCACAGAAGCUUUUUCCCAAGAUCACAGAUCAAGACUUCUCUAGUACCAUGAGACUCUUAUCUUUGAAUUUUUCCCCUUGCUAUGCCUCUAUAAACAAUAGAAGUAAAAAUGGAAUCUGUUGUGUGCACUCAUGGGGUAUACUUUUAUUUGUGAAGGAUGCUGCAGCCAUGCAGACUUAUACAUGGAUAACAGAUAUGGUUUGGCUCUGUGUCCCCACCCAAAACUCAUGUUGAAUUGUAAUCCCCAGUGUUUGUGAGGACUGGUGGGAGGUGAUUGGAUCAUGGUUGUGGUUUCUAAUGGUUUAACGUGAUCCCUUUAGUACUGUCUUGUGAUAGAGUUCUCAUGAGGUCUGGUUGUUUAAAAGUGUGUGGAACCUUCCUGUUCACUCUUUCUCCUGCUCUGACAAGUGAAGAUGUGACUGCUUUUCCUUCAACUUCUGCCAUGAUUGUAAAUUUCCUGAGGCCUCUUCAGCCAUGCUUCCUGUACAACCUGCAGAACUGUGAGUCAAUUAAACCACUUUUUUUUUAUAAAGUACCCAGUCUCAGGUACUUCUUUAUAGCAAUACAAGAACGGACUAAUACAAUAAACUUAUGCCUUGAUAGAUGGAAGAUGAAGGCCCAAUGUAGGUGAGAAAUUUUAAUGGUAUGUACAUUGCUCCAUAAUCAGUCAGAAAGAACUCCUCUCAACCUACAGUGUGGGUUAAAAGAACAUUGCCAGAAGGUCGUCAUUCUUCUAGAAGGGCAUCAUUUGUUAGGUACUUUUUUCCAUAGUUAGUAAAGGAGGCAAUGAUUAGAAAUUCAUUCCUCACCAUAGGCUUCAUAGCAGAUUCUCCUGUAAGAGCUGUGAUUACACAACAGACUUUAAAUUAUCUCAUGAAAGUGAUGCUGAAUAAUAGAAUUUCUCUAGAUUACUUCCUGGCUAAACAGAGAAGUAACCGUGCAGUUGCUGGCACUUGUUGCCCAUGGAGAAAUAUAUCACAUUGGGUAUUACAGAGAUUAAAUAGUAGGGGAUUAACGAAGAGACUGCUUAGUUAAAGCAAGUAGACUCUUUAUCUAGCUCAUUCUUUGAUCUAUUGAUUUUAGUUUGUUUGCUUUAUGGAGACCCUGGGUAAGAAGCAUACUCAAAACUCUUGGUAUUAUCCUCCUGAUAGUCAUAAUAGUAGUCUCCCUGGUGCACUGUGGUCUCUGAAAAGCUUUACAAGUUUGCAUGCAGCCAUCUCUAGAGUAUCAAGUGGUCUCUCUUCAACUGUAAUGACAAGAAUGAAAAAAUGUGUGACCAUGAGGGCACCAUAACCAUAAAUGACAUUCUGAGACUGGAAACCCAAAAUGAUGGUAACUGAGAGUGACACUAAGGCCAUAAGUGUUGGUCACACUCUUACCUAAGGAGCAUUUGACUAAAUGGGGGAUAUUUUUUAAAGACAAUUAUUGGAGGCCAUUUUUUUGGAACUGAGCUCAUGCAGUAGGCCCCAAAAGACCAGAUCAAACCAAAAUGGAGUCACUUAUGCUAAAUGUGACAUAAUCAAACUAAGACUUUAAGGAAACACAUAGAUCCUAGAAAAGACAGGUUUAGGUUUUUUUUUUUUUUUUUUUUCUGUAAACAGGAUGUUCCGGCAUAAGGAGAUACCCUCUACUGGAACCCUUUUAAAACAAUGACCUGAAGUCCUUGUUCCCAUCUUACAAAACCCGUAGUUCUAUUUUCCAGUGGGUUUCAAGAGCAAAUAAGUACAGUUACAAUGAUGAUAGUGCCAUCAAUCACUGAACUUUUGGUCAUCCUCUCAAAAUUGAGAGGAUGACCAAAAGGAGGGGAUUGUUAAAUCAAGUUUAGUCUAAAACUGCCUCCUUACAUAUUUUAAGUUUGGCCUAAAAGUUUCUCUGUACAUCAUGAAUCAUAGCCUAAAUAGAAGUGUAAACAGACUAUACUGUACUCUUGUGCCAAUCACUGAAUUUUGGUCAAUCAAAUGUGGCCAACUGUUUAAAUUGUGUUCAACUAAGACAAACACCGAGCUAUAACCAAUACAGCAGUUUCUGUCCCUCGCUUCUGAUUUGUGUACAUCACUUUCCUUUUUCUGUCCAUAAAUCUUCUACCACAUGGCUGCACCAGAGUCUCUGAGCCUACUCUGGUGUGGGAGGCUGCCUGAUUUGCAAAUCGUUCUUUGCUCAAUUAAACUCUUUAAUUGGGCUGAAGUUUUUCUUUUACCAUAAGGAAACUUUUUGUAUAAUUUAAAAAUCUUAAAAUUAUUUUUAAUGUUCCUUUGAUGUUUGGGUCAUUUCCAAUUACUAGAGGGUUAUGAUAUGGGAACACAUGUUUUAAAAAAUUAUGGAAUGUUUUCAGCUAUCAAAUGCUAACAUCUGAUAGUUGUUCAGGAUUUAUUGCUUCCUAGACUUUCACUAAAAUUUAAGGUUAUAAUUCUGUAUAUAAAAUGUGCUAAAGAAGAUGUGUUUUUAUUGAGGAAAGGAGUAAUUUUAUCUAAUUCAGAAAUUAUCUGUUUAUUCAAAUUAUGAAUUAUGAAAAUUUUUGUAAUAAAAUAAAAUGACUGGUUAUC